GCUGCUCAUUCUAACCCAGGAGAAGGUUGAAUUCGGUACUGCGUCAUUGGACUGCGGCAGGUCUCGGCCCGGUCCAUUGCAGCCUGAGAGGCCUGAAAGCUAAGGCUCCAGGCGGCUUCCCCUGCUGCGGUUUCCUGCGUGCCGCCUCCGUGGUCCUGCGUGCGCCACUGCCGCGCCACUGCCACAGCUGCUGCAGUCCGAGCCGCGACUGGUUCCCGGCCGCCGCCGCUGCAGUCUCUGCCGCCUGACCAGCUCCGGCCUUCGCCCCCCACUGCCGCCGCCCCCGCCGCCGCCGCCGCCGCCGCCGCCACCGGAGCAUCCAUUAUAAUUCUUCAACUGGAAGAUACCAUUGGAAAUAUUGAAGAGGAAUGGGAUGGGAGAAGGAGGAGAACAUGGGAGGAAGAAGAGGAAUGUGGAAGUAGAUAAGGGAAAGAAGAAGGGCAACAUCAUUUUUCAUCCACACUUCACAGAUGAUCUCAGUACGGACUCCUGUCAUAUCCAUCCAUUGCAAAAGGAAUCUGCUUUGAUGAGAGAUGAGAAGCUAUACUUGAGUGUCUUACCUAAUCAUCUGGUAUAGCAAUCUUGACUUUAUGGGAUUUAAGAUCCCAAAUGCAACAAAUCUCUAGGAAUAUGUGCAAGAGUGUAUCCAGAGAAGUUGUACUGAAGUGGGAGACACACUUGAAUAUAGGAGGCAACAUUUCAUGGGCUGGGGGUGGGGAUCUCCAACUGGAGAAAAAGAGAAAGCAAAUGUUGCUUCAGUAUCCAUUAUUCUUACCUUGGAUUCCAUGUGACCAACUGGCUCACACUCUCAUCCCUGUGCCGUUGCUUAUAAGACUGAACUUUGCUCUCAAAACACAAGCAAAAAUAAACCUUUCUUUCAUCAAA